CGGGGCGUAGCGCAGUCUGGUAGCGUACUUGCAUGGGGUGCAAGGGGUCGAGUGUUCGAAUCACUCCGUCCCGA
rnacentral:tRNA from 1 species